rnacentral:rRNA from 1 species
AUGCACCGCAUAAAGGCGAGUGCCAAAAAAAUAAGAAAGGAAAACAGGGUUUCUCGAUUGAUUGAGAAAGACGAGCAAAAACCAAAGCGGCGCCUAGCUAGACUAGGUCUAAAGCACCACAAUACACACGAAGCGACAGAAAGCCAAAAUCACACAACACACCCGGUCGGGCACUCGAUUGCUUUCGCCACUACCAGUGUCGACACCGACAACUGUCGUAUUGUACCGGGCUACGAGCCUGUGACGAGCAUAUGUAGGGUAACGCAGCAGAAAACAAAAAAUUUCCGACGUACGCACCAGCCCAGGACCACUAUGGAGACUGCAUACAUGGUUUGA